UACAGAAGGACACAUACCAUAGUUUUAUGUUUGCUUAACAGUAAGUUUUGAGGCUUACACUAAGAAAACACUAUAGAACUUAUUCUAGUGUCUCAUUCUUGCAUUUGUGAGUCUGUGUGUGUGAGAGGGUGAGCGAGAAAGAAGAAACACUAUGGUAUUCCUCCAGAGACUGAAGAUAAAGAUCACUGUCAUCGAGAUUGUGGCCCAGUAGGUGAGUCAGACAAUAAAAAAUAUAAAUAUAUAUAAAAGGUAAUGUAUAUUAGCAACCACUGAAAGAAAAAUAUAAGAAGGGGAUUUAAAGUGCUGGUGUGAGUACAGGAUGCCUGUUACUUUUAGAAAAGAUGACAAAGAAGCACUUCAUUAAGAAAAGCUUCUGAGUAAAGAUUGGAAAGUGCAAGGAAAGCAGCAGCCAGAUAUUUUGGCAAAAACAGCAGUUGAGGCAGAGUGAAGGGCAUGUGCAAAGGCCCUGAGGCAAGAGCUACUUAGCAAACUGUAAAAAAUAGAUUAUGAGAUCAGAGAGGUAAUAAGGGAGAAAAUCUUCAUUAAAGACAUAGUGCAUAUACACGUAUAUUUAUUGCAGCACUAUUCACAAUAGCAAAGACUUGGAACUAACCCAAAUGUCCAUCAAUGAUAGACUG
rnacentral:lncRNA from 1 species